CGUCAUCCCUAGUCCUGCACGAAUUGCUGUCAAUUAUCAGUCAGCCUCGCAUUUCACUGUCUGAAGCAAUAUAAGCUAUAACAGGGGUAGGAUGAAUCACCCUGCUUCAGUAUCCAUAGAGGAUCCUACGUUUUUUUCCGGAUGGGUAGGGAAUCAGGGAAAAGCAUGAGACAAAAAGAAAGAAGGGCUCACCUAUGAUGAUGACCUCUCCUCCGAUUGCAGCGAUACCAAUGGAACAAGAGAACGUACAUAUCUUUGACGAACUGAGAGUAUUCUUUCGGAGUUAUUUCUAUAUUGAUGAUCCCACCCAACCAUUUCAUGACCCUGCCGAAAUCCCUCGUAAGGCGAAUCUUUUGCUUGACAUCAAGUGCACUGUCAAGGAGGAGAGGGCAAGCCUCUUCCAACACGUGGCUACAGUAAUCCAGCUUUGUCUUAAUAAACGAGCUCAAAA
rnacentral:lncRNA from 1 species